rnacentral:rRNA from 1 species
GAGUGGAGGAAGGCGGGUACGUUAAUAGCGUAUUCGUUUGACGUUAGCGACAGAAGAAGCACCGGCUAACUCCGUGCCAGCAGCCGCGGUAAUACGGAGGGUGCGAGCGUUAAUCGGAAUUACUGGGCGUAAAGCGCAUGCAGGUGGUUUGUUAAGUCAGAUGUGAAAGCCCCGGGGCUCAACCUCGGAAUAGCAUUUGAAACUGGCAGACUAGAGUACUGUAGAGGGGGUAGAAUUUCAGGUGUAGCGGUGAAAUGCGUAGAGAUCUGAAGGAAUACCGGUGGCGAAGGCGGCCCCCUGGACAGAUACUGACACUCAGAUGCGAAAGCGUGGGGAGCAAACAGGAUUAGAUACCCUGGUAG